rnacentral:lncRNA from 1 species
UAAAUUGCCAAGGUUUAUUCUAAAUUAGUCCACAAGAACAAAACUUAAUUUUUAACCCCAUGCAGUAUAGUCAGUGAUGUAAUAAUUCUAUCCUGCAAUGAGGAGUUCCUGAAAUAAACUAGUUACAUUUACAUUUGCAGUGACAUCAGUGUUUAAAGGUAAUCAGGAAAGCAAUCAACACUGGAGAAGUUGGAAGUUGUCAUGUGCAGAGUGCUGAAGAUGAGGUUUGAUAGAUUCUCAGCUCCACAAUCUGGAAAAUGGAUAUCUUAAGUCCAUGUUGAAGUACAGACAGUCAAUCAGGUCUCCUGCUGAGAAUGUAAGAGUAAGAGACUCUCUUCAGAAGUGACCAAUGGAGGAUAUUUAGGAAAAGAGAAUAAAAAAUUGCUGAAAAGCAGCUUUUGUCCUGUUAUAGCAGUCUGGCUGUUGAUAAUGACUGAUGUAAAAACUUUGUCUCAGAAAGGCUGUAUCUGGGCAUUCUGUUCAGUAGCCACCAAAGAACCUGUUCCUCAAAUGUGCCUUAAGUACUUCCUUGAACCAUUUGGUUUUGACUUUUGCAACUUCACCAGGCUGUGUUCAGAUCAGUAUUCUGUGGCUGAUCUGUGCCCAAAUUCUUUGUGCAUUUUUAAUGAGUUACUGCAAAAAUCUGUGAUCAAAGAGUUGUGUGGGAAAUGCAGACUUCAGUAAGGAACAGAAAAAAUUUUCUUCAUUUGCUUUGGGAAGAAACCCAGAAUGUUGCCGUGUUUCCCAUGGAAAAAUGAAACUAUGUAUCCAGCAGCUCCAGGGUCAGAGCACUGGCCUAGAAACUGGAAGGCUAAGGAUCAAGUUAUUGAUCAGAAGAGCAGAAAGGGACUUGACUGGGGAAACUGGAGAGCUCACUUGGAACUCAAACUACUGGAAGAUUGAGAUACAUGACUUCCUAUAUUCACCACAAAUUGCAUCUUAGAUCUUAAACAUCAUUCCUCUUCAAACUGGCAUAAUUUUCUAGUGAGAAGUUGUCACAAAUUGACUUUUUUCAAUAGGAACAUAUUGGUUGGACACUUCUUUACUAGACUGUUACAGAUAAAAAUAAAGACUGGCUCAAUCUUGGAUAAUUCUACUGC